rnacentral:rRNA from 1 species
UACGAAGGGGGCGAGCGUUGUUCGGAUUUACUGGGCGUAAAGGGCGCGUAGGCGGCCCUCCUAGUCGCGUGUGGAAGCCCCGGGCUCAACCUGGGAAUUGCGCGCGAAACGGGGGGGCUUGAGUGCGGGAGAGGAGCGUGGAAUUCCCAGUGUAGAGGUGAAAUUCGUAGAUAUUGGGAAGAACACCGGUGGCGAAGGCGGCGCUCUGGACCGAGACUGACGCUGAGGCGCGAAAGCGUGGGGAGCAAACAGG